AUUUUUAGCGGGAAGAAGAAAAGAACCCGAAGUCAAAGGCCACGCUGUUUACUUCUGACCAUAACUGACCGUAACUUGACUGUUUCAGAAAGAUGAGAGAAGUGCAGAGGAAAUCAUCAUCUGUCUUGGCAUGCUAAAAGAGGAGAUAAAGAACAGUAGCAAAUAUGCUGCUAGGCCAUUGACCAGCAGUUGGGUACUAAGAAAGGAGAAGCUCUUAUUGACCUGUAAAAUGAAAACAGGACAUUUUCAAAUUGUUUUGUUGUAGGGAUGGGGUACAAGUAGAAGAUUGGUCAAUAUUAUGUACAUGUACCUUGAUAUGAAUUUAUUUUUGAUUGUGUUCAAUGAUAAACUGGAAAUAAAUG